rnacentral:tRNA from 5 species
UUGUAGCUCAGGUGGUUAGAGCGCACCCCUGAUAAGGGUGAGGUCGGUGGUUCAAGUCCACUCAG